UACGUAGGGUGCGAGCGUUAAUCGGAAUUACUGGGCGUAAAGCGUGCGUAGGUGGUUCGUUAAGUCUGUCGUGAAAGCCCCGGGCUCAACCUGGGAAUGGCGAUGGAUACUGGCGAGCUAGAGUGCGGUAGAGGAGAGUGGAAUUCCCGGUGUAGCAGUGAAAUGCGUAGAGAUCGGGAGGAACAUCAGUUGCGAAGGCGGCUCUCUGGACCAGCACUGACACUGAGGCACGAAAGCGUGGGGAGCAAACAGG
rnacentral:rRNA from 1 species